GUACUGGCGUGUCGUUAACGCGAAAUGGAUAUUCCGCGUCGCAUGGGAAAGAUGCCGACGUGAAUGCUGGCCCUACCGAAAAAGCAGUCGAGAAAUGUAGAGUGAAAGCGGAUGGAAACUUACUUGCAGGGAGUCAUGACUUAUUACGCAUAUAAUACCCUGGAUCGUCUGUUGGCUUAUGCCCAUAAAUAUACAGAUGCAUUGAGAAACACUGAGUAUAUCGUCUGAAUGCAGAUAAAUCGCAUAUAUCAAAGCGAGGAGCACCGAGCAAGCGCUAAUGAUGCUACUGAUCUGUAAAGUUUUAUAAACAAGUACUCGCGUUUUGCUGCUGUUACUGGGCAGCGGCCAACAGAAGGAUAAAACCACGCUAAACCAAAUGAUAUCGAUGGCUUUCUCUGGCGUUGGUUGCUUCAACAUAAUCUCAAAAGACUGUCUGGCUGUUAAACGAACGAAACGAGGGGUUUAGUUGGUGCAGUAUCGAUACAUGCACAGUUAAUUGUUACAUUGCUGCGAAAGUAAGUGAAGCUUGAAUCCGUACAAAAUUAUUCUUUAUGAGCAAAGAAUUUAAUAAAUCAUACUGGCAGUAACGUCUGAGAACGAUCUAUUGAUUGGCGAUUUGCUGCGAAGUAGUACUUACGGCGGUUGUUUCGACGAUGAUUAUUGAUUGCAUUAUACAUCGGCGCAGCUUGUGGCAUGAAGCAGGAACGCGGCAAUAUUAAAGAGAAAGAACACAUGAUGGAUUGCAGGUAUAGAAUCUACAGUGAUAUGCGUCUCUUGUAAUGAACUAGUGGUAAAAGAGUAGUCUUGUUUAUGUGGCCGAGACGGAUGUUUCGAGUAUAGUCAAGCGCUCUACUCACUUUUUCACUUGGAUGGAUUGCUGUAGGACUGAUCAAAGGACUAAAUCAAGAUCCAAAGUGAGUAAGCAGUAAUGAUAAAGUUAGCAUUUGAGUUUUUGUAAAAAAUCGGUCAUCAUCAUUGCAUAGUGAUACGUUUGAAUAAAGUUUAGCAUGGAUUUGCAUAUUGAAAAUUUUUGAGGGAUUAUAAAAUGUUCGGCCAUACAAUUGCGAAGGUAAGUACCGCUCU